rnacentral:rRNA from 1 species
AUGGCUCAGGAUAAACGCUGGCGGCGUGCUUAACACAUGCAAGUCGAACGGAGUAAUCCUCCCGAAGACCUGACGAGCUUGCUCAGAUGGAAUUCAUUGGAUUACUAGUGGCGGACGGGUGAGUAACGCGUGGGUAACCUGCCCUAUACUGGGGGAUAGCAGUUGGAAACGACUGAUAAUACCGCAUAAGCGCACAGGACCGCAUGGUCUAGUGUGAAAAACUCCGGUGGUAUAGGAUGGACCCGCGUCUGAUUAGCUAGUUGGUGAGGUAACGGCCCACCAAGGCGACGAUCAGUAGCCGGCCUGAGAGGGUGUACGGCCACAUUGGGACUGAGACACGGCCCAAACUCCUACGGGAGGCAGCAGUGGGGAAUAUUGGACAAUGGGGGAAACCCUGAUCCAGCGAACCGCCGCGUGAGCGAUGAAGUAUUUCGGUAUGUAAAGCUCUAUCAGCAGGGAAGAUAAUGACGGUACCUGACUAAGAAGCACCGGCUAAAUACGUGCCAGCCGCCGC